rnacentral:lncRNA from 1 species
GCUAUACAGAGAAACCUUGUCUCGAAAAACCAACCAACCAAUGAGAGAGAGAGCGAGAGCGAGCGAGAGAGAAAGAGCGAGCUGGACUAUUAUUGGAUAGCUGAGGACAUUUUUCCAUCUAUGAAUUGGGCUAUCUUGUUAUUUUAUGUUAUAGUGUUCAUUAGAGCACACCUCUUUAAGAGCGUGAAGUCUGAGCUGUCUCCUUUUCUGCUCAUGCUGUUGGUUGGUAUCAGUGUUGGAAGUCACUGCUACCCCGGGGCUGCAAACAUCGACUCUUACGGUCUAAUGGUUUAAUUCUGACAGUCAGGCUUUGAUGCCUUUGCAGGGAACUUCUGUGUGAGCCAUGAAAUAGCGACCCAGCUCCAUUCUUUACCAUGUGGCUCUCUUCAGUUGUUCUAGAACCUUCUGGGAUGAAAAGAUAACUCUUCCCCCACUGAAUUACCAUGGUGCUUUUGCCCUAAAUCAGCUGCCCAUCAGUAUAAAGGUUUAUGUCUGAACUCUCUCCACUCUGUUCUGUGGUCUACAUGAUCUCGCUCAUGCAGAAAUCUGUAAGUCAUUUGUAAAAAUGUUUCUCCAUUGCUGGAAAUUAAAGCACAGGCCAGCCACAUGCUCUGUAUGUUUUAUCAUUUCCCUGAGAUAGGGCUCUCUCUGUGCUGCAUACACUGGCCUUGAAUUCCUGGACUUAUGAGAUGUUCCUUUAUCAGGACUGCUGGCGUGUGGCUCAGAAGUAGGCCAUUUGUCUGGCAAGGGAGCCCUCGUGUAGAAACAUCUGGUUGGACUAUAGUCACCAUCUGUCAGGAUGAAGAGCACCAAUUUGGUAUUAUCCAAACCUUUGGGUGAGAAAGGCAAUAAAGAAAGUGUGGGGUGGGUGAGAUGGCCGAGCAAUUGAGAGCACUUCCUGCUUUUGCAGAGGACAGGGUUCCCACCUGAACUUCUCUGGUUCUGGAUCUGAUGCCUGACAGCCCCAGGCCCGGGUUACACAUAGCCAACAUUGAGUGUAGGCAAGCACUCAUGUACUCGACAUAAGAAUAAAUCUCCUUUAAAAGAGGGCAGAUGCCAUGGUCAGGUUUUCACCACGGUGUCCAGAUAGGAGAGGAAGGGUUUAUUCUGGCUCUUGGUUUGAGAGUGUCCAUCACAGGACAGGAGUGCUGUGAGGUAGCUGACUGCAUGGACAGUCGGGGAGGAGAGAGAGAGAGAGAGAGAGAGAGAGAGAGAUGCUGGUGCCCCUACUUUCUCCUUUGCCAUUUUUAUUCAGCCUAGAUCUGCCACACACAGAUGCUGCCAGCCUCAUUCAAGGCGCAUCUUCUCUCCUGGUCUACACAUCUCUAUAAACAGACAUACCCAUAGAUAUGUCUCCUACUUGACUUUACAUCCAGUCAAACAAUGACACACACACAAUGACACACACAUACCCACGUUCAUUAUCUGUGGAAAUCAGGUGGGGUAGGUGAGAGGCAAGGAAUGAAUUGCUAAGCACCGCAGACACUUGCAUCUCUGUGUUAGACUAUGAGGUGAUAGAAGAUACAUCUUGUGGGCAUGUAGGGGCCAGUGUGCUGAGAGGGUCUGAACGGUGAGCCUAGGGAUGGGACUGUGUGCUUGAGUUUCCCACAUGCAAGGAGAAAGGGAGAAAGACAGCAAGGGAAGUUCCAAAGAGACCCUACUAGCCAAUAGCAGCCUUGAAAAAAAAAUUCAUCUACCAAGGGCUGAGACGAAGUUCACUCACUCACAGAUGGUAGCCUAGCACAUACAAGGCCCUGGGUUUGACUCUCCAGCACAAAAAACAAGAUUAUCCAAAAGCAACAUGAAAUUCUCCCAAGAUGCAGCUUCCAAACCAGGCUGAGGAUCAAGGCCAAGGAUGGCCGCAUUCUUCACAUAGCCGAAGGCUUCCCUGUGCUCACAGCUGGGCUGUCUGCACGGCAGGUCAGAUCUGAAGGGGCUCAUCUUCCACUCUUACGAAAUCCCAGCCACUCAGCUGAGGCCCUGAGUAAUCAGAGCUCAGACUCUGCUCAGUUCCCGGCAGAAGGCAAGUGCUUUCCACCCCGCUCUGAUGUGAUACUCCAGGCAGCGCCCCUCAAACAUCCUAUGAGCUUGUCACUCUUCCCUAGAAGGUGGCUUUUUCCCUAGAAGGUGCCUGCAGCUCCUGCUAGGUUCCAGAAAAAAAUUCUUAGGAGGUACGAUUCCUGUCCGAAAAACAGAAUUCAUUUCCCCUUUUACAGGAAAACCGUCUGCUGUUAGUCAAGAGU